UGUCAGACGAGCGAGCGAAAGUUAGUCCCAUCUUGAAGAAACCUGCUCUGGAUCUAUUGGACAUCAACAACUACAGACCGGUAUUACUUUUUUCCAAAUCUCUGGAAUGCAGUGUUUUUCACCAACUGUCUGUCUCUCUCAAAACAACCUCCAAGAUCCAAACCAGUCUGGCUUCAAAACGGCACACUCCACAGAGACGGCCCUUUUGGUGGUCACUGAGAAACCACAGGCUGCUCGAUCAGCCAAUCUGUUAUCUGUACUCAUCCUCCUCAACCUUUCAGCAGCAUUUGACACAGUCAACCACAACUCUGGUCUACCCUCAGGAGCCUCAGGAUCUGUGGAGCAGUAUGGGAAUGGUUUGCUUCCUACCUGGAAGGUUGCUCAUACCAGGAAACAUGGAGGUCCACAUCUGCCCCAUACAGACUCUCCACUGGUGUUAUACAAGUGGGACCUCAUCGCAUCUCGCACUGCACCACGCUGUCUGAGAUCCUCCAGCACUGCUCCACUGGUACCACCUUCUCUCAGAAUGAGAGCAGGAUGAAGCUCCCUGGACAUCCACCCUGCUAUAUACUGCCCAGGAACACCUUGAGGAAUGUCACAAAGAGCAAACCUUCUGCGAUUCCUGCUGAAUCUCCACAACAGUGUAAAAACAGUGACCUUUGAGCAGGAUCUUCAUCUUUGGCAAGAAGGAGAAGUUCUGCAAGAGCCAAAUUUGGAGAUUAGGAUGGGUGCGGAAGUGAGAUCAUGGACCACCUGUUGCACAGCUCCUGAAGUACACAGGACCAUGUCUUUUGGCGCAUUGACUUAUGAAGUAACUCUUCUCCCCAUGUGUUUUCGCUCACACUCGGGGUCUUGCAGCUCAACUCUGAGAGGGCAGAACAUCUCACAGCGCUCUGAAACCUUGAACCAUCAUCAGAGAACUCGACUUUCAUCAGCUUCCAUUAAACAGAUAAUGUGGUGUCUCCUGGAAGCAUCAGUGCAGCAUUUAUGCACCGCACAAGAAUUGGCCAUCUGCUGGAAAAGCCUGGCGGUGAAGCCUGUGAUCGGCCGGCGAGGGGACGCGCCCCGAGCCCACUGUGGCGUACAACCUGCUGACGAAGGGCACUGCUGAGGAGAACCUGGAGGCCUAAUUAAACAUCUCUAAACAGAUUGCAGAGAGAGUGGGAGGAACCCUGGGGGGGUGCGGUUGGGCAGAUCUGCUCUUUAUCCUCACCCCCUACUGCACUGACGACGGCGAACUGCCCCGGCACAACCUGCUCUGAGUCAGGGCAUAAACCUCACUGAGGCAGGUUACAUCUCAGCCCACCUCCAUCACUGAUCCUGAAUCCAUCUCACCCAGCAUCACACACUUCUCAACUCUGCUACAGAGCAACCGGAUACACACCGUGUGUUGCCAUAGUGAUGACACCAUGUUUUAUUCAAUAUCAAAUCAGGGCAGCUGUUGACCUUGAGGACAUAGCUCAUCAUGGAGUAAUAUUUUUUGUCAUUUUACCUGGGAAAAGCACACCAGGGCUGAGCCGGAAGAACUCAGAGGAAACCUGAGAUGGACAGACCUAAGUUUCAACAUCAGGAUUAUGCAGCUGUAAAAUCUUUACAAAACAAAGCUUUGGGGAUCCCAACUUCUGCAAGGUUCAUCCUGUUUUCCAAUAACUGAUAGAAGCUUUUUUAACAUCACACAGCACAUCCAGAUCCUAAAGAACCAGCCAGAGCUGCCGGACGAUUUUCAGGAACUAUUUCCUUACCAGAGUCUGGAGAGCUUUACCACAUCACUGUGGCGAUAGAAGGACAGGAGACGGGUGAGAGAGCAACCUUCAGUCACAGGAACGACAGAAUGCCAGCAAUUCCAGGAAAGAUUCCAUCUUCCUUAUGAAGAGCACCAGAAUUCUGGAACCAAUCAGAUGAAAGUGUGUUCCAUUUCAGCACUGCACACUGCAAGUUCUCCAGAGUUCUUCAUGAAACGCGGUUCUGAUUGGACGAGCAGCAGAUUCAUCUCACUGCUUUCCCAUAUAUCUCAUCUGUUCCAGAACUUAAGGAGAGAAAGAGAGGGGGGUAGUGGGAGAGAAAGAAAGAGCAAGACUGUUAGAGGGAGCUAGAGAGAGAGAGAGAAGAUGGAUGGAUAGAGCAUAUAUAACUAUAGAUAUAUUCAAGGCAGGAAGGUGGUUCCUUGGCCCAGACUGAAGUCCCUGUGUUGCUGUGGAACAGGUUUAUAUUGAGGAGCUCUCUGUUCUUUGCUUCAUUCAGCUUUCCCUCUACCCUGACCAGUCUCUCAGCUCCUGCUGCAGAAAAACACCCAUACAGCAUGAUGCUGCCACCACCAUGCUUCACUGCUGGAAUGGUUUUAGGCAGGUGAUUAGCGGUGCUUGGUUUCCUCCAGACAUAAGAUUUGGAACUGAGAACCUCCCGGUGCCUGUUGGCAAACUCCAAGCGGCUUCCAUGGGUUUUGCACACUACACCUGUUAUAUGGAGGUGUAGUGGAGGUGUAAUAUGGAGGUGUAGUGGAGGUGUUAUAUGGAGGUGUAGUGGAGGUGUUAUAUGGAGGUGUAAUAUGGAGGUGUAGUGGAGGUGUUAUAUGGAGGUGUAAUAUGGAGGUGUAGUGGAGGUGUUAUAUGGACGUGUAGUGGAGGUUUUAUAUGGAACUGUAGUGGAGGGGUAGUGGAGGUGUAAUAUGGAGGUGUAGU